CUAGUUGGCGAGGUAACUGCUCACCAAGGCUAUGACGGGUAGCUGGUCUGAGAGGAUGAUCAGCGACAGGGAGACUGAGACACGGCUCCCACUCCUACGGGAGGCAGCAGUAAGGAAUCUUUCGCAAUGGGGGAAACCCUGACGAAGCGACACCGCGUGAAGGAUGAAGCCCGGAAGGGUGUAAACUUCUUUUUUGAGGGAAGAAUUCUGACGGUACCUCAAGAAUAAGCACCGGCUAACUCUGUGCCAGCAGCCGCGGUAAGACAGAGGGUGCAAACGUUAUCCGGAAUCACUGGGCGUAAAGCGUCCUUAGGCUGUCUAAAAAGUCUGGCAUUAAAGCCUGAAGCUCAACUUCAGUCCGGUGCUUGAUACUUUUAGACUAGAGAGUUUCAGAGGCAAGUGGAAUUCUGCGUGUAGGGGUAAAAUCCGUUGAUACGCAGAGGAACACCAAAAGCGAAGGCAGCUUGCUGGGAAAUUUCUGACACUUAUGGACAAAAGCGUGGGGAGCGAAAGGGAUUAGAUACCCCUGUAGUCCACGCCCUAAACCUUGGAUACUAGGUGUGGGGACCCUUCGACCGGUCUCCGUGCCGACGCUAACGCAUUAAGUAUCCCGCCUGGGUAGUACGGUCGCAAGACUAAAACUCAAAGGAAUUGACG
rnacentral:rRNA from 1 species